rnacentral:rRNA from 1 species
GAUCAACGCUGGCGGCGUGCUUAACACAUGCAAGUCGAACGAAGUUUUUCUUUCGGGAGUGACUUAGUGGCGGACGGGUGAGUAACGCUUGGGUAACCUGCCCUGUACAUGGGGACAACAGCUGGAAACGGCUGCUAAUACCGCAUAAGCCCUUAUCACUGCAUGGUGCAUAGGGAAAAGGAGCAAUCCGUUAGAGGAUGGACCCGCGUCUGAUUAGCCAGUUGGCAGGGUAACGGCCUACCAAAGCGACGAUCAGUAGCCGAUCUGAGAGGAUGUACGGUCACAUUGUGACUGAGACAAGGCCCAGACUCCAACGGGAGGCAGCAGUGGAGAAUAUCGCCCGAUGGAGGAAACUCCGAUGCAGCGACGCCGAGAGAGUGAAGAAGUAUUUCGGUAUGUAAAGCUCUAUAAGCAGGAAAGAAAAUGACGGAACCAGAAUAAGAAGCACAGGCUAAAUAAGU